AGCCAGACUCCUACGGGAGGCAGCAGUGGGGAAUAUUGCACAAUGGGGGAAACCCUGAUGCAGCGACGCCGCGUGAGCGAUGAAGUAUUUCGGUAUGUAAAGCUCUAUCAGCAGGGAAGAAAAUGACGGUACCUGACUAAGAAGCCCCGGCUAACUACGUGCCAGCAGCCGCGGUAAUACGUAGGGGGCAAGCGUUAUCCGGAUUUACUGGGUGUAAAGGGAGCGUAGACGGCUGUGCAAGCCAGAUGUGAAAGCCCGGGGCUCAACCCCGGGACUGCAUUUGGAACUGUGUGGCUGGAGUGUCGGAGAGGCAGGCGGAAUUCCUAGUGUAGCGGUGAAAUGCGUAGAUAUUAGGAGGAACACCAGUGGCGAAGGCGGCCUGCUGGACGAUGACUGACGUUGAGGCUCGAAAGCGCGGGGAGCAAACAGGAUUAGAUACCCUAGUA
rnacentral:rRNA from 1 species